AUAAACAAGACCCUCGGUGAGGAGUCAUACAUUAGGCAGCGUCCUUGAGCAGUGACUAAGUCGUAAAUGUUCACUGAGGUCCAAGUAGGGGCCGAAUGUGCAGGGAAAACAAAUUGUGUCAAGGAAGAAUUACGGGACUUGGACGGCAGUGCGCAUUAGUCUUGCCAGAGAUGCAAAAGGAGGAGGAGGCACAAGGGAAUUUAACUGCUGGAACAUAUCCGAAGGGCUGUGCCAAUCAAAACCUGAGCAGAUCCUUGAGAAACACCAGCUGAUGACAUCAGGAGUCUUCUGUGCCAAGUCCCAAGUUACUGGGGAGCCAUUUGACUCAAGGCACUGAGACAUAACAGUGAGGUUCCCAAGAUUUGAUGAAGUCUGAUGCUCCUGGCUGCAUGACACUGCAGGAUGAAUUCUGGCACAGUCAGUGCUGGCUGGGAAUUUUGUUGAACCAUGAAUCAAAGGGGUAAUGUGAUUGUGCUGUUGACUAGCUGGCUGUGGGCCCAUCCAGAUGAGACCCAUGUGAUGCUGCUUGGAGGAAGUGACAAGAAGAUAUAGUGAGGAAAAUAUCUGCCCCUCUGAUAAAGCAUCUGUCCCCACAUAUUGUUUGAGUUCACAAUCCAGGGAUCCAGUUAAAUUCUCAGCUGCUACUAUACCAAUAGGUAACAACAAAUGACCAGAACAGCUUUUCUUCGUUGAUCUGUGGCCAAGAGGUUGUAAUUUCCUUUGGGGACAUGCAGACCUGGCUACCGCAACCCAUGCCUUUGUCAUCUUGAGAUUAGUUCACUGACUUGCACGCUAUAUGUGGCUACUCCUUAAAUCUAUCCAGAAAGUGAAGCUGGUGCAGAAUUCGAUAGCUGGCUUGUUAAGCAAUAUGUCUUGCCAGGAGCAUAUUUCACCAUUACUCUCUGAUCUGUGUGGGCUGUCUAUUGUUUUCUGGGUAGAAUUCAAGGUGCUGGUUUUGCUCUGUAAAAAGCCCUACAUGGCCUCGAACCUACUGGCCUCAGAGACCACUUCUUUUCCCUGGCUAUACUGACACAAUAGCAGUGAGGUGGAAGAUAUCGUCCUCCUAGUGCCAUCUGUAAUAGUGAGGUUUGAAAUGAGACUGAAGUUUACUCAUUCCACGUAUGCCACGGUGCAGCUGACAGAGGUUAAAAAAAAGUAUGCUCACGAUCAGCCUCCUCUGGAUAUGAGCUAGUGGCUGAAAGGUAAAAUGCUGUGUGUCCUGUUCCCAAUCCCCGCAAGCCAGCUCCCCCCCUCCAGCUUUCUGUCUUCUGUUCCGUUAUGUGCAAUAAGUGCCAUUCUCCUCCAAGACAGGCGGCAAGAUACCCUGCCAACUGAUUUAAUGAACUACCAUCAAAGUUCUUUUUAGUUAAAAAAAAAAAAAAAUAGACACAUAGAAAUUAGCCUGAUUCCCAUAUGUUCCCUUUCCUUUGUGACAGUGUUAUGCAUUUCUACUCAAGAGAAUCAUAAAUAAUUAUCAGUAGGCUUUCACACUGAGAGGAUGAUCUGAGAUAGUGGUGUAGAUAUAGGGGUACAUUUUAAAAGGCAUGAAGGGCAGUUAAAUGGAGGAGGGUGCCGACUUCCCUUGAAAGUCAAUAUGAAUUAGGUGCUUAACUCCCAUUUGUGCCUUUGAAAAUCUCCCCUUUAUAGUGCAACCAAAACAGCACACACUGAGUCCCCUACGUUUGGUCCUGUGCAAAAUACUUCUGGAGAUGGCCCUCAGCACAGAUCACAUAGGAAACAGCCUAGGGUGGUGAUUUUCAUGGGGUACCCCCAGUGCACCUCCAGCCUGUGUACCCCUGCAUUAGCACAGCUUCAGCAAGAGCAACUAGAAUAAGUCUACAAGAGAAACUCCAAAGACGGUUUCACCUCUCCACUUCCUUGGAAUGCCAUGGGUACUAAAUCUAAGUCAUUCUGAAGUGGUCAUAUGUGUAGUACUGGCCCACUGGGGUGAGAGGUUAGGAUCUGAUCUGGGUUCUUCAUUCACAGCAUGUCAGAGCACUGAAGGUAGCCCAGUCAGCCCUUAGGGAAGGGUGCACGUGCCAUCACUCCAGCCAACUCAAGGCACGAGACUGAAAAAGGCUCCAGGUCCCCCUACAGCUCUCUUUAUCUAGGUCCCUCAAGCUGGAUCACACUUAUAAACAGGAACACAACUACUCCGUGUGACAGAAUGGUUCUGUGCCCUAACAGUCUAUCUGUACAGCUGAGGUUUGUUUGCUAGACACUGCCAGAGAACCUGUUUACGAAGGAAGACACACCAGUGAAUGGGAUUCAGUGAUGAGGACAUGAGCCAGGGAUUCACCUUCCCCAUGAAAAAUUCAUUACAAGAGAGAGUGAUGACCAACUGUCAACAAUUCAGAUCCCUCCAGCAACUGAAUGACAGUGAGUCUGAGCCGCUACUGGCAUUACUACAAGAAGACAUAGAAACUCCACUGUGCAUCCACGCAACUCUGCAGAUAGUGUGUGUAAUGCGGAAACUGGGGGAUCUCCAAACUCAUCCAGCAACAAAAAAAUCUCUGUCCUCCCAUUAAAGAAAAAGAGAGAGAGCUCCCAUCGAUUACUGAAGAGCCAAGGCUGAUGAAAAUUAGGUAGUGUUAGCGAUUCGUCUUCAAAAUUUAUAUUUUAUAAAUUAUAUGAAUUAUAGCGGAACAAGGUGUUCAUUUUACAGAGGAGCAAUAAUUAAAAAUGAAAUAACAAGACUCUGCUUGCCAACUAAACCAAGAAAAGAGAGGUGAAGAAUAAAAGAAGGACAUUGAAGAAUAUCUGCCAGAAAGCUUCAUUUGAAAUAUAUGUCCCUAGAUGUAAUUUAUUUAAUUCAUUUUUCUUUUCUGCAUCGGGUAUAUGACACAGAUCUGGGCCGAAACCAAAAUCCAAUGUGCAGGCAGUGAGAGGCUUGUUGCCUUAGAGCAACCUCUAACCUGAUACCAUGGUGUUGCUAAUCUGCUGGGCUUUUCCCCUCAACAAUGAGUCUAAUGAUGGGUGUUCCACUGCUAUUUUCCACAUUAUAGGGGUGAACUCCUGUUGUUUCUGGCCCUGCUUGGAUAUGCAGCGGGGAAAGGAGAGAAGGCAUGGUGAGAAGAUUGGUUAGCGUUCCUCUCCACGUGUGCCCCAGUUCUCACACUUAACAAGUACAUGGGCUCUAACUGACUGGGACAUACAAUAAAGUUGACAGGGCUAGACAGGCCAGCCCCUAGCCCUGUGCGUCUCCAUGCAGGUCAACAGAACCAGCCUUGUGCAAGGGAGAUAUAGUGUAUGUAGAGUUAGGCCAUCUUUUUUUUUUUAAAGUUCCAAAUGAUGGGGCCUGAGAGAUCAGUCUGUAGGGAAAGCUACUGAAAGAAAGCUUAAUUUUUCCAUUCAGACUGAGCCAAAAUUUAAAGAGCAGGUUGGGCUUGUUCUGAUUGAUGAAUUGGAGCCAUGAUUGGAGUCAGUCAGAUAAUAGUUUUCUCCCAACCAGUUCGCCCAUCCCAUGAUACGAAUGCCUCUCAGAGGCAAUUGUGUUCGCUCAUUUCUGUGAUAUUACAGACUAGACAUUUCCAUUUGAUUGGAAGGAGUUAAAUGGUGUGGUCACACUCAUGGGUAUUAUAUUAAAGU